rnacentral:rRNA from 1 species
CUCCACCGGAAAAAGAGGAGUGGCGAACGGGUGAGUAACACGUGGGUAACCUGCCCAUCAGAAGGGGAUAACACUUGGAAACAGGUGCUAAUACCGUAUAACAAUCGAAACCGCAUGGUUUUGAUUUGAAAGGCGCUUUCGGGUGUCGCUGAUGGAUGGACCCGCGGUGCAUUAGCUAGUUGGUGAGGUAACGGCUCACCAAGGCCACGAUGCAUAGCCGACCUGAGAGGGUGAUCGGCCACAUUGGGACUGAGACACGGCCCAAACUCCUACGGGAGGCAGCAGUAGGGAAUCUUCGGCAAUGGACGAAAGUCUGACCGAGCAACGCCGCGUGAGUGAAGAAGGUUUUCG